rnacentral:rRNA from 1 species
CGGCGUGCUUAACACAUGCAAGUCGAACGGAAAGGCCCUGCUUUUGUGGGGUGCUCGAGUGGCGAACGGGUGAGUAACACGUGAGUAACCUGCCCUUGACUUUGGGAUAACUUCAGGAAACUGGGGCUAAUACCGGAUAGGAGCUCCUGCUGCAUGGUGGGGGUUGGAAAGUUUCGGCGGUUGGGGAUGGACUCGCGGCUUAUCAGCUUGUUGGUGGGGUAGUGGCUUACCAAGGCUUUGACGGGUAGCCGGCCUGAGAGGGUGACCGGCCACAUUGGGACUGAGAUACGGCCCAGACUCCUACGGGAGGCAGCAGUGGGGAAUAUUGCACAAUGGGCGGAAGCCUGAUGCAGCAACGCCGCGUGCGGGAUGACGGCCUUCGGGUUGUAAACCGCUUUCGCCUGUGACGAAGCGUGAGUGACGGUAAUGGGUAAAGAAGCACCGGCUAACUACGUGCCAGCAGCCGCGGUGAUACGUAGGGUGCGAGCGUUGUCCGGAUUUAUUGGGCGUAAAGGGCUCGUAGGUGGUUGAUCGCGUCGGAAGUGUAAUCUUGGGGCUUAACCCUGAGCGUGCUUUCGAUACGGGUUGACUUGAGGAAGGUAGGGGAGAAUGGAAUUCCUGGUGGAGCGGUGGAAUGCGCAGAUAUCAGGAGGAACACCAGUGGCGAAGGCGGUUCUCUGGGCCUUUCCUGACGCUGAGGAGCGAAAGCGUGGGGAGCGAACAGGCUUAGAUACCCUGGUAGUCCACGCUGUAAACGGUGGGUACUAGGUGUGGGGUCCAUUCCACGGGUUCCGUGCCGUAGCUAACGCUUUAAGUACCCCGCCUGGGGAGUACGGCCGCAAGGCUAAAACUCAAAGGAAUUGACGGGGCCCCGCACAAGCGGCGGAGCAUGCGGAUUAAUUCGAUGCAACGCGUAGAACCUUACCUGGGUUUGACAUGGAUCGGGAGUGCUCAGAGAUGGGUGUGCCUCUUUUGGGGUCGGUUCACAGGUGGUGCAUGGCUGUCGUCAGCUCGUGUCGUGAGAUGUUGGGUUAAGUCCCGCAACGAGCGCAACCCUUGUUCACUGUUGCCAGCACGUUAUGGUGGGGACUCAGUGGAGACCGCCGGGGUCAACUCGGAGGAAGGUGGGGAUGACGUCAAGUCAUCAUGCCCCUUAUGUCCAGGGCUUCACGCAUGCUACAAUGGCUGGUACAGAGAGUGGCGAGCCUGUGAGGGUGAGCGAAUCUCGGAAAGCCGGUCUCAGUUCGGAUUGGGGUCUGCAACUCGACCUCAUGAAGUCGGAGUCGCUAGUAAUCGCAGAUCAGCAACGCUGCGGUGAAUACGUUCCCGGGGCUUGUACACACCGCCCGUCAAGUCAUGAAAGUUGGUAACACCCGAAGCCGGUGGCCUAACCGUUGUGGGGGAGCCGCCGAAGGUGGGACUGGUGAUUAGG